rnacentral:lncRNA from 1 species
CUCCACAAACUUCCAAUCAAACCGUUCAUAAAUGCCGCCAUUUCAAAACAAGCAGCAGAAGUCCCUUCAAUGCCAACACCAUCACCGACCACCAACUCCACCACCUCCUCCGCCGCCUCCACCACAUCAUCAUCAUCAUCAACAACAGUAUCUAGUAUUUUCUUGAAUAAAGUUUCACCAAAUUCUCUGCAAUACCCUCCUGGAUAUCUCGGGGCAGUACCUGACCGUGCAGUUAAUAAUAAUG